AACGAACGCUGGCGGCAUGCCUAACACAUGCAAGUCGAACGAGACCUUCGGGUCUAGUGGCGCACGGGUGCGUAACGCGUGGGAAUCUACCCUCAGGUUCGGAAUAACUCAGAGAAAUUUGAGCUAAUACCGGAUGAUGACGUAAGUCCAAAGAUUUAUCGCCUGAGGAUGAGCCCGCUUAGGAUUAGGUAGUUGGUGAGGUAAAGGCUCACCAAGCCGACGAUCCUUAGCUGGUCUGAGAGGAUGAUCAGCCACACUGGGACUGAGACACGGCCCAGACUCCUACGGGAGGCAGCAGUGGGGAAUAUUGGACAAUGGGCGAAAGCCUGAUCCAGCAAUGCCGCGUGAGUGAUGAAGGCCUUAGGGUUGUAAAGCUCUUUUACCCGGGAUGAUAAUGACAGUACCGGGAGAAUAAGCCCCGGCUAACUCCGUG
rnacentral:rRNA from 1 species